GAGGACGACGUGAAAGAAAAAAUCAGCUUUGAUGGAGAUGGCCGCAAACAAUCAAGCCUCACCAUUUCCAAUCUUUUAUUAAAUGACAGUGGUGCUGAGCUGAAAGGAAAGCCAACGCUAAAGUCUGACUAAUAAACGUCUUUAACAUGAUAUCUAUGGUCUUUAUAUUGUGCUUCCUUCAUCUGCCGGUGAAUAAGGGUGCCUCUAACAGCAACAGUGUCCUCCAAACACCUCCUUUCAUCAUUAAGAGAACCGAUCAAUCUGUUGACA